CAAUAGCGUAUAUUAACGUUGUUGCAGUUAAAAAGCUCGUAGUUGGAUUUCUGGAGGGAGCGUCGGCCAGUAUUUACGAGUGCGUGACGUCUCUGUCCAUCCUUGCGGGAAGGCACGGCAUUGAUUUGUUGUGUCGGAUCGCAUCAUUUACUGUGAAAAAAUUAGAGUGUUCAAAGCAGGCUUUCGCUUGAAUACAUUAGCAUGGAAUAAUAAGAUAGGACUUUGGUGCUAUUUUGUUGGUUGAGCCUAAAGUAAUGAUUAAUAGGGAUAGUUGGGGGCACCUGUAUUGCGUUGUCAGAGGUGAAAUUCUUGGAUUUACGCAAGACAAACAGCUGCGAAAGCGUCUGCCAAGGAUGUUUUCAUUAA
rnacentral:rRNA from 1 species